AGCGAACGCUGGCGGAAUGCUUUACACAUGCAAGUCGAACGGUAGAGGGGGCAACCCCUCGAGAGUGGCGAACGGGUGAGUAAUAUAUCGGAACGUGCCCAGUCGUGGGGGAUAACGUAGCGAAAGUUACGCUAAUACCGCAUACGAUCUAAGGAUGAAAGCGGGGGAUCGCAAGACCUCGCGCGAUUGGAGCGGCCGAUAUCAGAUUAGGUAGUUGGUGGGGUAAAGGCCCACCAAGCCAACGAUCUGUAGCUGGUCUGAGAGGACGACCAGCCACACUGGAACUGAGACACGGUCCAGACUCCUACGGGAGGCAGCAGUGGGGAAUUUUGGACAAUGGGCGAAAGCCUGAUCCAGCCAUUCCGCGUGCAGGACGAAGGCCCUCGGGUUGUAAACUGCUUUUGUACAGAACGAAAAGGUUUCUACUAAUACUAGGAGCUCAUGACGGUACUGUAAGAAUAAGCACCGGCUAACUACGUGCCAGCCGCCGCCGUAA
rnacentral:rRNA from 1 species